CUCUUUGAACGCACAUUGCGGCCUCGGGCCUUCCCGUGGCUUCGUCUGUGUGUGGGUCGG
rnacentral:rRNA from 1 species